rnacentral:rRNA from 1 species
UACGUAGGGGGCAAGCGUUAUCCGGAUUUACUGGGUGUAAAGGGAGCGUAGGCGGCAAGGCAAGUCAGAAGUGAAAUCCCGGGGCUCAACCCUGGAACUGCUUUUGAAACUGCCUGGCUAGAUUGCAGGAGAGGUAAGUGGAAUUCCUAGUGUAGCGGUGGAAUGCGUAGAUAUUAGGAGGAACACCAGUGGCGAAGGCGGCUUACUGGACUGUAAAUGACGCUGAGGCUCGAAAGCGUGGGGAGCAAAC